rnacentral:rRNA from 1 species
UACGAAGGGUGCAAGCGUUACUCGGAAUUACUGGGCGUAAAGCGUGCGUAGGUGGUUUGUUAAGUCUGAUGUGAAAGCCCUGGGCUCAACCUGGGAAUUGCAUUGGAUACUGGCAGGCUAGAGUGCGGUAGAGGAUGGCGGAAUUCCCGGUGUAGCAGUGAAAAUGCGUAGAGAUCGGGAGGAACAUCUGUGGCGAAGGCGGCCAUCUGGACCAGCACUGACACUGAGGCACGAAAAGCGUGGGGGAGCAAAACAGGAUUAGAAUC